rnacentral:sRNA from 2 species
GGACAGCCUGACCGUGAGGUUGGGUUGAUCCUUCCGCGUAACACUUGCCGAAGCCUUAGCAGCCCGAAAGGGUGCAGUUCCAACGACUAUAAUCAUCAGAGGACUGCUUAAAUGCUAGUCUGCGCAGUGCAGGCAACACUAUCAAAUUGCGGGAACACCCUAAAGACCUCAACACCAAGCGCCGGUGGGAAACCACGGCGUGGCCGAGCUAAUAGCCCUGGGUAUGGUAACAGCUUGAGGUAUGAUGCUCUCUCGAGAGUUGAAAUGGGCAAUCCGCAGCCAAGUCCUACAGCGCUCGCGCUCGAGUGCCAUGGAUGCUGUUCACAGGCCAAAUGGUAGUGGGUGACCCCCGAUGGGGUUGCUUAAGAUAUGGUCGGGCCCCUCCAGAAAUGUUGGGGGUAAGUUUACGCCGGCGGGCAUCGCUCACAUUGAGCGUGUCUGUCCGAGAACAAACCGUUCCGUAGGUGAACCUGCGGAAGGAUCAUUAUCGAGGGGGCUCUGCCCCCGUCAAGAUACCACCCCUUGCUUUUGAGUACCGUCUGUUUCCUCGGCAGGCUCGCCUGCCAAUGGGGACCACAACCAAACCUUUCUGUAAUGCAGUAACGUCUGAUAAACAAAAAAUCAAAACUUUCAACAACGGAUCUCUUGGUUCUGGCAUCGAUGAAGAACGCAGCGAAAUGCGAUAAGUAGUGUGAAUUGCAGAAUUCAGUGAAUCAUCGAAUCUUUGAACGCACAUUGCGCCCUUUGGUAUUCCUUAGGGCAUGCCUGUUCGAGCGUCAUCUAACCCUUCAAGCACUGCUUGGUGUUGGGCGUUUGUCCCGCCUCGGGCGCGGACUCGCCUCAAAGACAUUGGCGGCCUGUGUAUUGGCUUCGAGCGCAGCAGACUCGCGCCUCGACUCCUCUUGCACUAGGUGUCCAGCAAGCCUACAAACCCCAAGUUUGACCUCGGAUCAGGUAGGGAUACCCGCUGAACUUAAGCAUAUCAAUAAGCGGAGGAAAAGAAACCAACAGGGAUUGCCCUAGUAACGGCGAGUGAAGCGGCAAGAGCUCAAAUUUGAAAUCUGGCUCCUUGGAGUCCGAGUUGUAAUUUGUAGAGGGUGCUUUGGUGUUGUCUAUGGCCUAAGUUCCUUGGAACAGGACGUCUUAGAGGGUGAGAACCCCGUACGUGGCCGCUAGCCUUCACCGUGUAAAGCCCCUUCGACGAGUCGAGUUGUUUGGGAAUGCAGCUCUAAAUGGGAGGUAAAUUUCUUCUAAAGCUAAAUAUUGGCCAGAGACCGAUAGCGCACAAGUAGAGUGAUCGAAAGAUGAAAAGCACUUUGGAAAGAGAGUCAAAAAGCACGUGAAAUUGUUGAAAGGGAAGCGCUUGCAGCCAGACUUGCCCGUAGUCGCUCAUCCGAGCUCUUGCUCGGUGCACUCUUCUGCGGGCAGGCCAGCAUCAGUCCGGGCGGUCGGAUAAAGGCUCUAGGAAUGUAGCUCUCUUCGGGGAGUGUUAUAGCCUAGGGUGUCAUGCGACCAGCC